GGGGAGGCAGAUACCUGGGCAGUGCUGAGUUGUGCGCUGUCCACCACUGGCUCUCCUACAGCAUCCGCGCUCUCUGAUGACCGGCGAAUUGGGUGAAAUCGUCCGCGGACGAAUCACAGGGGCAACCGACAUGU